UAACCAUGCAAGUCGAGCGAGAUCUUCGGAUCUAGCGGCGGACGGGUGAGUAACGCGUGGGAACAUACCCUUUGGUACGGAAUAGCCUCGGGAAACUGGGAGUAAUACCGUAUGUGCCCUUCGGGGGAAAGAUUUAUCGCCAAAGGAUUGGCCCGCGUUGGAUUAGGUAGUUGGUGGGGUAAUGGCCUACCAAGCCGACGAUCCAUAGCUGGUUUGAGAGGAUGAUCGGCCACACUGGGACUGAGACACGGCCCAGACUCCUACGGGAGGCAGCAGUGGGGAAUCUUAGACAAUGGGCGCAAGCCUGAUCUAGCCAUGCCGCGUGAUUGAUGAAGGCCUUAGGGUUGUAAAGAUCUUUCAGCUGGGAAGAUAAUGACGGUACCAGCAGAAGAAGCCCCGGCUAACUCCGUGCCAGCAGCCGCGGUAAU
rnacentral:rRNA from 1 species